UUUACAAUUUGACUACUGCUUCAGAUCUUAAUAAUAGACUGAAGUGGUUAUGCUUGUGGGAUAGAUUAACCCUGCCAUGAUCUGAAGAGGGCAGAUUAUUUUUAAUGACCUCCUCCUAUAUGAAAUGGCUGUACAUUAAAAU
rnacentral:snoRNA from 1 species